rnacentral:lncRNA from 1 species
CCAUAGCAAAUAAUGGCAAAAAUACAAAAAACUAAAAUAUUAUUAACUUAAUAAAAUCAUCCACUACAUAAUCAUUCAUUAUUUUUACAAUUAAUCAUCUAAAGCUACCACAGUUCUUCAAUGAAAGUAUAUAUCUACAUAUAUAGAGAGAGUACACUUCAUAAUUUCGUCUCUUGUCUUCUGUAAACGUAGCACGGAAAUUUGAUACCCUGUAUUGUAAGGCAGGUCGUAGAAGCAGUCUUCCUGCACAUUUAAAAAAAAUAGCAAGUCAGAAAAAUGAAGCAAAUAGGUCACCAGAGGCACUUAGUGCCAAAAUCAAUACACAAAGACAAUAGAGUUGCUACGUGGUACUAAUGUACACCGUAUUGCUCAUAAGCAGAAAAAGACAAAUAAGCAAUCACAAUAUCAUUUG